AUAAAUCUCUUAAAAUAUAACAUUAUUAUUGAGAUUUAAUUUUAACUUUUACAUUGAUUGCAACCACUAGUCAGAGAAGAACCUCUCAAAAUUUUAAGAUAGUCUAGAUAAAUUUUUUAAGCCACAUUUCUCCUACCAAGUUUGAAAGAUUUGCUAAAUCUGUAAAAAUUGUGACAAAUAUCCAUCAGUUCAUAGUUGUUUUUUUUUUGUCAUACAGCAAGUUAUAUGAAAUAUGAUAGUGGGUUUGUUUGUUAUUGUAAUUAAAUGGGCUAUUAUAACUCUAGGGAUAUUGAUACUUUUUGAAUGUGCAUUAUAUGCUGUACUACUGUUCUUUAUAAAAAACUGUUACUUUGUAAAAAUCAUUUGCUUGUACUCACAGUGGAUCAUGGCCAGGUUUGAAGAGGAAAUGGAUCUCAUUUUUGGUGAGAAACUUUUGUAUUCUACAUUUCUUUAGCUGACACAGUGUGUCAAUGAUUAUAAGCGACAUUUUUGAUUUUUUUAAAACUCUCAUUAUUAUUUUUCUUGCAGUGCAAUAUACUAUUUUAAUUUUUUUAUUUUUCUCACCUUUUUGUAUUUGAAGAACAUUUCACCAGUAUUGAGAAGACUUUCUUUAACUUUUUUGAUUUUGCAGUAAUAUAAGUUUGAAAUAUAUUUGCUAUAAUGUCAAUGCAUACCCCAAAAGCUUUAGACUAUAAAAAUUAUGCCAUUGAUUAUUUAAAAUGGGACUUUGCUUAAUGAUUCUGUCUGAUUCCAGGACAAGAGAAUACAAAAAGAGUCACUGAACAGUGCCAAAAAAGCACAAAGCUAAACUGCAUAGUGCCAAUCAAGCACAAGGUCAAAGAGACCAACCAAUCUCGAUGGGAUUGAUGAAAAUUUUGAGCCAAGACAAGAGGACUUGAACUUGUUUGGGGUUCAAGUUUGCAACUGUUUAACAUGUGUUAAAGGCAGGUCUUCCUUGUCCCACAUUCUACCAAGUAUCUCAAGUUUGGCUCCUACCUGGCUCCUAUAAUCUAGUCCCUUUUCUGUCUUUCAUUGUGUGGCAAACUUUUUAUAGUCCUGGCUACUGACUGGGUAAAUGCAUAAUUGCUUAAAUCAUUUUAUUUGGGCCCUGAUUCAAGGACCUGUUAUGGAUUUAUUUUUCCUUUACUUAGAAUUUUUACACAUAAGACUUUGAUAGUCUAUAUUUCAUCCAGAACUUAUUUUUUUAUUAGGAUUAAAAUUUUUUUUUAUUUCUCUUGCCAAUUGAUUCAUAUACUUCAUAACUCAGCCAUGCAUCCCUAAGUGAUCCGUGUGUUUUUCAACACCCUCUUCAGGGGGAAUGUAUUAUUAUUAUUUUUAAUUGCAAGUUUUAAAUUCUUUUUGAGAGUAAUUUUAGGUUAAGAAACAUGAUACCUCUCCAAAUCCAGAAAAUGAACUCUUCUUAGAAGGCACCAUGAAGGUACCUCCACAUACCACAAGCUACAUCAAGAAGAUCCAGAAUGAAUUUUGGGUGUGGUUGAUUAAACUGAAGGUUGAUUGAACAUUUAAUUUGAAUGUAUACUCAUGCCCAAAGGGGACUGCUCCCUAAUUGGCUUUUUGUCAAUGUACCUAGCAAUUAUUGGUUUUGUUCUCUUUUCCUUUUAUCCUCAAAUUAUUACAAUUUCAAAGUUUGUAUGUUUACAAGACCCACUGGAGAGACUAGUCUUCCAUGGGUCUCAGGGGGGAAUGUAUGAUUGAAAAUCUUUUACCCUAAUAAAAGAACUACAUAUCCCAAGAGCCCACUGACUUCCUGUCAUUAUGUACUUUCUGUAGACAGAGGAUAAAGGACCUGGGCUUUGGCAGUUCCUCCUCUCUGAUGUAGAAUCAGCAGUGAUGGUGGAGAAUGGCUUUCAUAUUGGAAAUGAUGGAAUGAAAAUGACUAAUAAGAAGUUGAUACCACCUAGCUGCCUUGGAUGAAACCAAAGCAAUUGGGUUCAGAUGAAUUACAAACUUGGGUCCUUAAAGAACUGGAAGAUGUGAUUGCCCGGUGCUCUUUCCACUGUAUCACCAUGAGAUGUCUUUUGAACCCUUCAUGAGCAUCCCAGAAGCAUCAGUGUCACAGGCUGAGGACAAACUGGAAGUGUUGGAGAAAGAUGGAUUUCAAGUUCUAUGAGAAGUACAGCUGAAAAGCUGUACCACACUUAAGGAGAAGAUUUCCAGAUCUUCCAAGAUACCCCUUUUGCCACAUGCACUCCAAACUUGAGCCCAUUUUCCUUGGACUCCAUAUAAACUGGAGGAAAGUCCCCAUAGGCUUUGGGGGGAGGGGUAUUUUAUACUGACUGACUUAAAUAGCCAUUUCUAAAACCCAUUUAAGUAUGACAGCUUAUUUGAUAACAACCAAUAAUGACAGGAGGCAGUUCAUUGGUAUAGACAUAAGAAUUCUACCACUAGAAAGCCUCUAAGAGUUCUCCCUAGAGCCCUGACUGUGCUCCUAACCUUGCUGGGGACUCAGGAUAUCAAUGCCAGUUACUACAAAUGUAUUGAUGCUAUUUAAAUAAAUAAGAAGAGAAAAGAAGUCUUGCAAUUUUUCCAUAUGCUUGUUCUUUAAAAAAAACCAUGAACCACUAUAUCCUUAAUAUUAAUGCCCAAAUGUGUAACAGUUUAGAGACUAUUGGCAGAAGAUGGAGUUUCUAAGUGUGGCUCUUUAUGAUCAUUUCAGCAACAUCCAUAAUUGUGGUCAGCCUAGGCAGACAACAGAAUGAAGUUAAGGAUUUAAUUGAGAUGGGGGAUUUAAUUAGGCUUCCUGGCCCAUAGCAAUUUAUUGUAUAGUUCCAAGUCUUUAACCCUACCCUUCCCCAUGUCCACCAAAGAAGGACAUUUGGUUGUGAUGAAGCCAUAAACUGUCCACAGUCUUAUAUUUUAAUGCUACUUCAGCUGCUGGGGGCAGCAAGAUAAAAGGGUUUUUUUAUGCAAGAUGACAGUAUUCUACUAUACUUCUUUUAUGAACAAGUACCAAGUUAAGCCACAGGGAAAUGUUUUCUUUUUAUGGUAUUUUGCAAUUUGUCCAGGACAAAAGAAACAUAAUAGCUUCAACUGAAUUUAACUUUCCUUCUCCCAAAAUA